rnacentral:rRNA from 1 species
GCAUAACGCGAAGAACCUUACCAGGUCUUGACAUCCCCCUGACCGGUACAGAGAUGUACCUUUCCUUCGGGACAGGGGAGACAGGUGGUGCAUGGUUGUCGUCAGCUCGUGUCGUGAGAUGUUGGGUUAAGUCCCGCAACGAGCGCAACCCUUGACUUUAGUUGCCAGCAGGUAAGGCUGGGCACUCUAGAGUGACUGCCGGUGACAAACCGGAGGAAGGUGGGGAUGACGUCAAAUCAUCAUGCCCCUUAUGACCUGGGCUACACACGUACUACAAUGGCCGGUACAACGGGAAGCGAAGGAGCGAUCUGGAGCGAAUCCUUUAAAGCCGGUCUCAGUUCGGAUUGCAGGCUGCAACUCGCCUGCAUGAAGUCGGAAUUGCUAGUAAUCGCGGAUCAGCAUGCCGCGGUGAAUACGUUCCCGGGUCUUGUACACACCG